AUAGAUCGGAUCAUGGUGUGGGACACAGUGAAAAGGGAUAUAGCAUGGCUCACUAGCAUUGGACAAUCUGAAAACGUUGCGUAAAAACAUAAACAUACCUGGAUAAUUGUGUGAACGCCUCCUGAAAGUAUAAUCCCCGCAAACACAAGACGACAAUUCGUUAAAAAAAAAAAAAAACAGAACAAACAAAAAAGUGAAGGGGACGGAGGGUAGUUGGUCGAACACACCUGUCACACAGUGAAAGAAAACAACUGUCGUUUGGUCUAGUGACGUAACUUGAGAGAAAACUAUACUCGACCCGGGGGGGAAGGGGGAACAAAAAUUAUUGGUAAUAUCGCACGAUGGCGGGAAAGUCAAACCACUCGCAUCUUCUUUCAAUGAAAUCACGUCUCCAAAAAUAGCUGCUGCGCUCAUUAUGUACGAAAUACGUGACAUCAAUACAAGGAUAAACCAAGCAGCUGUAUUUCUGAAGAAAAAACAAAAUUAUAAUCAACCUGCAAUAUUACACUCAGGUAAUAGACGGAUCGCCUUUCACUUGUGUCCGUAGGCCAAAUUAUGCAAGGGGAUGAGACGGUUGUUACUUUCUUGCUCAUUAAAACAUUUGAAAGUGAGAAAAAGAAACAAGAACGUGACCGAAUUCUGAUACUGCCGUAUACACUGAUUGAUCGAGAGAGGUCCAGUUGGUGCGUAAACCUGUCGAAAGGACGUGCCCAUAACGGGAUGCCAGUAAAACCAAUGAACUGGACGAAAAGAGAAAAUGAUUGAAAUUUGUGGAUACGAGAAGAGUGUCACCGAAGGGACGUAAUCGUGAACCGAAUGGAAAGCGAAAUGUUUGAUCUCUCUCUCCACUUUUCCUGUUCAAGUUCAAUAGACCCCGACUUGCACUAAACUUGUUCUCUCCCCUUCUCCCCAUGUUCUCCCAUUCUUCGCCAACAAAUGAACGUUUGCGGAAUUUGAACGAUGUUUUUCUUUCAUUUUUGUUUUACGAAAGCGUAAAAUGUUGUCGUUCAUUUUUGUAGAAACAAGUAAGUCAUUAAAGAAUAAAUUCUCAAAUUAAGAUGCUCGCUUAAGUUCUGCGUUUAUUUCCUUUCCCCCCACCGCCUUCUGUCUGUGUGUUUUUGCGUUUGUGUUUUUUGAUUGUCGGUC